AACGAACGCUGGCGGCGUGCCUAACACAUGCAAGUCGAGCGCGAAAGGAGCAAUCCGAGUAGAGCGGCGCACGGGUGCGUAACACGUGGGUAAUCUGCCUCAAAGUCUGGAAUAACCUUCCGAAAGGUUGGCUAAUGCCGGAUAAGCUCACGGGGUCUUCGGACUCUGGGGGAAAAGGUGGCCUCUGUUUACAAGCUACCACUUUGAGAUGAGCCCGCGGCCCAUCAGCUAGUUGGCGGGGUAACGGCCCACCAAGGCAACGACGGGUAGCUGGUCUGAGAGGACGAUCAGCCACACUGGAACUGAGACACGGUCCAGACUCCUACGGGAGGCAGCAGUGGGGAAUUUUGCACAAUGGGCGAAAGCCUGAUGCAGCAACGCCGCGUGUGUGAUGAAGGUUUUCGGAUCGUAAAGCACUUUCGACCGGGACGAAUAAGCUUCACCUAAUACGUGAGGCCCUCGACGGUACCGGGAGAAGAAGCACCGGCUAACUCUGUGCC
rnacentral:rRNA from 1 species